rnacentral:lncRNA from 1 species
UAUUAUAUUAUAUACAUAAUACGGAAGGCAAACAAGGCAUCAUGUUCGUCCACGUAUGUUAAUAUUAUUUGCACAGUCCGAUCACAAUAAUAAUAGCUGGGAUUUUUUUUGUAGCAUCUUAAUGUGUAGGUCCAACAUACCGGACUAUCACGUUGUCAAACAUGCAGAUAUGCCAUGUAAUUGGAUUAGGCACGCAUUAGCAAGCCUCAUGAUAGAAAAAGUCUAGCAAAAUAAUGUCCACAUACAUGCACACAUAUGGUGGUAAUUUUUCUCGAUCAGAGAUAGUAUGAAUAGAGAGUUGUCCCGUUCGUCGGUACAUAUAGCCAUUUUUUAGGAGGGUAUUGAUGCUUCUGGUCUGCGUUGGGCUUUCCGUGAAGAGAAACGGAUUAUCGCAGCACAAUGUGGAUAAAAAUUUCCCUCAAUUAUGAAACC